GCAGUCGUGGCCGAGUGGUUAAGGUGAUGGACUAGAAAUCCAUUGGGGUCUCCCCGCACAAAUUCAAAUCCUGUCGACUGCG
rnacentral:tRNA from 2 species